UACGAAGGGGACUAGCGUUGUUCGGAAUCACUGGGCGUAAAGCGCGCGUAGGCGGCUUUGUAAGUUAGAGGUGAAAGCCCGGAGCUCAACUCCGGAAUUGCCUUUAAGACUGCAUCGCUAGAAUCAUGGAGAGGUGAGUGGAAUUCCGAGUGUAGAGGUGAAAUUCGUAGAUAUUCGGAAGAACACCAGUGGCGAAGGCGACUCACUGGACAUGUAUUGACGCUGAGGUGCGAAAGCGUGGGGAGCAAACAGG
rnacentral:rRNA from 1 species